ACCACAUCAUGUUGAAAACCCGGUUCCCGUAUGUUCACCGAAGUUAAGCAACGUCGCUCUAGGUCAGUAUUUGAAUGGGUGGCCGCUUGGAAAUACUAGGUGCUGUAA